CAACCCGUUCUCAUCAGUCUGCGUAUAAAUAACACGACUUUACACUUUCUAUUUGCGUGUAAUGCAUACGCCAAAUGCCAUUUUUGCGUGCAUAUGAUACGCCAAUCCUUCCCAUUAAUUUCGGUGGAGAGCAGAUGCGUCCAAAUAACACGCAUCAUCUUCAGCGGCAGUGACGUCACCAGCGAGGCUCGUUCAGUUCACCUGAUGCGCGUACACCUUCAAACAGUUACGUCGGAUUACAUACUCCACAACAACCUGUAAUCCAGCAGAUCUUUAAAGAAGCCAUCUCUUGUAAAAUCUCUCUCUCUCUCUCUCUCUCUCUCUCUCUCGCUCUGCUAGAAUUAACAGGGAACUUCAACUCCACGCUCCCAAUGCUGAUAUUGAAGAAGCUGUCAAGGGGGCUGAACAAGUCCUUCAAAGGGUCAACCCUUCACAGGAAGGCCUGUCAUGAGAUUUGAAUUUGACCAUCUUGUGCAUUUAUGAAGAAGACCAAAAGCUGCAAAGGCAAACACUUCCAAUGGCAGAAACUGAGAGUUUGCAUGAUGGCAUUUUCUCAGACGCUGAAUCUGAUGUGUACAGAUGAACUCAGGAGCCUACUAGAGUUGCCAAGGAACUUGUGCUUGAACUGAAGACCAGAAACGCAAAGAAAAUCAGUCAAACCAGUCCUAAAGAAAUGAGGAAUGAACAUGGACUUCUUGUGCCCCAAAAGAAAAGACAGAAAGGACAUCUAGACCAGGUGGAGUGUGAGGAGGACCGUCAGAGACUCCAGCCAGCCGAGCCAUGGAUUGCUCUCACUGUUACCAUCAGGCAGACGUUAUCACAGAACCUACACCAGCAGACAGUGAGACAAGUUCCUUUCACAGGCAAUCAGACUGAACUGAACUCAUACCAGUAAAACCAUACACACCCCACCAACCUCAUAUGCCCUGCACUCUUAUCAGUUAUGCUGACUGGACUCAAUAUUAUUAUGCACCCUGACAUUCUGUUUGCACUAAUUCAUACCGUGCUUUACUGCAGAGAUGUAUGUGUACUGUGAUUAUUAUUGUUUUCAAUUCAUGCUCUUUGUAUAGCAUAAUUUUUAACAUAUAUUGUUCUCUACCUGAAUUGAGUCCCUUAUAUAUGUGUGUUGCAUAUAUAUAUAUUCAGAAUUUGUAUUUCAUAUAUAUUCAUGAAUUAAUUCAUUUGUCAUCCAUACUGUCACGCUGCAGUCUGCACCCAAGACUUUCAUCACCUGUAUACUUGUGUUCAUUGUAUUGUGACAAUAAAGAUAUUUGAUUUAAA